rnacentral:rRNA from 1 species
UACGGAGGGGACUAGCGUUGUUCGGAAUUACUGGGCGUAAAGCGCACGUAGGCGGAUUUGUAAGUCAGGGGUGAAAUCCCGGGGCUCAACCUCGGAACUGCCUUUGAUACUGCAAAUCUCGAGUCCGGAAGAGGUGAGUGGAAUUCCUAGUGUAGAGGUGAAAUUCGUAGAUAUUCGCAAGAACACCAGUGGCGAAGGCGGCUCACUGGCCCGAUACUGACGCUGAGGCACGAAAGCGUGGGGAGCAAACAGG